GACGGAGGAUGCAAGCGUUAUCCGGAAUGAUUGGGCGUAAAGCGUCCGCAGGUGGCAGUUCAAGUCUGCUGUCAAAGACCGGGGCUUAACUUCGGAAAGGCAGUGGAAACUGAACAGCUAGAGUAUGGUAGGGGCAGAGGGAAUUCCUGGUGUAGCGGUGAAAUGCGUAGAGAUCAGGAAGAACAUCGGUGGCGAAGGCGGUGGUCUGGGCCGUUACUGACGCUGAGGCGCGAAAGCGUGGGGAGCAAACAGG
rnacentral:rRNA from 1 species